ACGGAAANGCCUCUUCGGAGGUNCUCNAGUGGCNAACGGGNUGAGUAACACGUGGGCNAUCUGCCCUGCACUUCGGGAUAAGCCUGGGAAACUGGGUCUAAUACCGGAUAGGACCUUUAGACGCAUGUCUUUUGGUGGAAAGCUUUUGCGGUGUGGGAUGGGCCCGCGGCCUAUCAGCUUGUUGGUGGGGUGAUGGCCUACCAAGGCGACGACGGGUAGCCGGCCUGAGAGGGUGUCCGGCCACACUGGGACUGANAUACGGCCCAGACUCCUACNGNAGGCANCAGUGGGGAAUAUUGCACAAUGGGCGCAAGCCUGAUGCAGCGACGCCGCGUGGGGGAUGACGGCCUUCGGGUUGUACACCUCUUUCAC
rnacentral:rRNA from 1 species